UACCUGACUUGGUAGUAAGUAAAAUGUAUGACGUAUUUUACACUCUUAAAUACCUGACUUGGUAGUAAGUAAAAUUUAUGACGUAUUUUACACUCUUAAAUACCUGACUUUGUAUUAGUAUAACAAUGGAUUGAAUAGUAGAACUAGAGUGGUUCUGAAUUCAUUAAGUCAAUGAACAUAAACCAAAUUUGUGAUUUUCAGGUGGGUUGAUGGUACAGAGAUUACGUUUACUAGAUGGACAUAUGGACAAGGUACUCACCAGCGCGAACACUGUGCCCAGGCUUCCAGAAGUUUUGAUGAGUGGCAUGACUAUCCAUGCAAUGAUUCGACAAAUUUCUUGUGUAAGAUGCCUAUAAGGCAAACACGUUGGAGUCGUGUAGAAAAAACAGAAAUACAUAUUUCAACGUCGUGAUGACUUCUUGUCACAAAAACAAUAUAAAUGAUGGGCUUUUGCUACCAACGCUUGCCUCUUUAGUUAUCUCCAUCUCCUUGAAAUGAGGUAUUGGGAC